ncrna:unclassified sequences cow-rumen-1 RNA
UCAGUGGUCGCUGAGUUAGAGUUUAACAGCGUAAAUCCACCGCCGGACACACGACAAAGAGG